CUGAAUAGUGACCUGACCACAGGAUAGGGCUUCCAAUUGAUCUGGAGUGGAAAAAGGGGGGUGCACAGAGAACACACAGUACCUUCUGUGGGGACGAGGGGUGCACAGGAAACAAUUACACAGUACACCUGUGGGGAAUGGGGCUACUCACACAGCUAUUAGUAUGCCCAGGUGAUAUAUAUCACCUUG